AUCAUCCGGUGUCAAUCUGGACGAUUUCCUAAAAGUAAACCUACAGCUCAGUUUCCAAGGAGGUGGGAGAAAAGAAGUGGGACAGCAAAUAUGAGCAUGGAUAUUAUUCACCCACUCCAGUACUCUUCCCCGGAGAAUUCCAUGGACAGAGGAGCCUGGCAGGCUACAGUCCAUGGAUUGCAGAGUCAGACAUGAACACGACUGAGUGACCAACUUUUUUCGUUUUCAGACAAAGAAUGAUGUGAGCAAAGGCAGAGAGGAUGGGAGCUGAAUCGCAGGUCAUGUUGAGGUAUAUAACAAGACAUGAGAAAGUGAGCUUUGGUGGAGGCACCCCUUAAGAGCCAAACAGGCCAUUCUGAGUCUUCACAAAAGCAAGAGAUCUGUAAGGGAACAGAGGUGAAAGGAAGGUGCUCUGAGAAGGAGUCUGACCAAGGACACUGCAGGCAACGUCACACCUCCUGAGGGCAGCCAGGAGGACUCCGGCUUUUGCUGAGCAUUGCAUCUUACCUCCUUCCUUUCAAAGGCUCCAGAUCCCAGCUUACCUGUCCCCGAGUCCUGUGUGCCCCUAACCAGGCAUCCCACGACCCCUCCAGCCCAGCCCAGCCCUAGAGCUCACCUCCAGGCCCUGGAGCCUGCCCUCCUGCCCAGAAUGACUCACCAUUAUUUCUAGCUCAAGUGAGAAGACAUGAUGGGGUGUCGGGCUGCCCGUUUGUAUAUCUAGGAUUCCUGAAGCAUCGGAUCAGCUCUGCAAGGAAGAGAGCUGCAGAUUCCUGCCUUGCCAGCCAAGCGAGGCUCUCUCUCCAGCUCUCAGGGAGCCCUGGGGGCUCUCCCGCUGGAACCCAGGCUGAUGCUGCUGUGUUUCCUGGGGCCGUAAGCACCAUCCCAAGCUCCCAGCCACCAGGCAGCUAGAAGGCACAGCGAGAGG
rnacentral:lncRNA from 1 species